rnacentral:rRNA from 1 species
AGGACGAACGCUGGCGGCGUGCUUAACACAUGCAAGUCGAACGGUAAGGCCCUUCGGGGUACACGAGUGGCGAACGGGUGAGUAACACGUGGGUGAUCUGCCCUGCACUUCGGGAUAAGCUUGGGAAACUGGGUCUAAUACCGGAUAUGACUACGAAUCGCAUGGUUUGUGGUGGAAAGCUUUUGCGGUGUGGGAUGGGCCCGCGGCCUAUCAGCUUGUUGGUGGGGUGAUGGCCUACCAAGGCGACGACGGGUAGCCGGCCUGAGAGGGUGUCCGGCCACACUGGGACUGAGAUACGGCCCAGACUCCUACGGGAGGCAGCAGUGGGGAAUAUUGCACAAUGGGCGCAAGCCUGAUGCAGCGACGCCGCGUGAGGGAUGACGGCCUUCGGGUUGUAAACCGUCUUUCAGUAUCGACGAAGCGCAAGUGACGGUAGGUACAGAAGAAGGACCGGCCAACUACGCGCCAGCAGCCGCGGUAA